GUGUCAGCCGCCGCGGUAAUACGAAGGGACCUAGCGUAGUUCGGAAUUACUGGGCUUAAAGAGCUCGUAGGUGGUUUGAAAAGUUGGUGGUGAAAUCCCAAGGCUCAACCUUGGAACUGCCACCAAAACUUUUUGACUAGAGUGUGAUAGAGGAAAGUGGAAUUUCUAGUGUAGAGGUGAAAUUCGUAGAUAUUAGAAAGAACACCAAUUGCGAAGGCAGCUUUCUGGAUCACUACUGACACUGAGGAGCGAAAGCAUGGGUAGCGAAGAGGAUUAGAUACCCUCGUAGUCCAUGCCGUAAAUGAUGUGUGCUAGACGUUGGAAAUUUAAUUUUCAGUGUCGCAGCAAAAGCGUUAAGCACACCGCCUGGGGAGUACGACCGCAAGGUUAAAACUCAAAUGAAUUGACGGGGACCCGCACAAGCAGUGGAGCAUGUGGUUUAAUUCGAAGAUACGCGCAGAACCUUACCAACACUUGACAUGUUCGUCGCGACUUUAAGAGAUUGAAGUCUUCAGUUUGGCUGGACGAAACACAGGUGCUGCAUGGCUGUCGUCAGCUCGUGUCGUGAGAUGUUGGGUUAAGUCCCGCAACGAGCGCAACCCUUACUUUUAGUUGCCACCAUUUAGUUGAGCACUCUGAAAGAACUGCCAGUGAUAAGCUGGAGGAAGGUGGGGAUGACGUCAAGUCCUCAUGGCCCUUAAGUGUUGGGCUACACACGUGCUACAAUGGCACUCACAAUAGGAAGCAAAGAGGCGACUCUAAGCAAAUCCUAAAAAAGUGUCUCAGUUCGGAUUGUACUCUGCAACUCGAGUACAUGAAGCUGGAAUUGCUAGUAAUCGCGGAUCAGCGCGCCGCGGUGAAUACGUUCCCGGGUCUUGCACACACCGCCCGUC
rnacentral:rRNA from 1 species